AACGUAGGACGCAAGCGUUAUCCGGAGUUACUGGGCGUAAAGCGCGGGCAGGCGGCCAGACAAGUCUGAUGUGAAAUCUCUUCGCUCAACGGAGAGAGGCCAUUGGAAACUGUCAGGCUGGAGGGCAGUAGAGGUAGGCGGAAUCCGGGUGGAGUGGUGAAAUGCGUAGAGAUCCGGAGGAACACCAGAGGCGAAGGCGACACGCUGGGCCAUACCUGACGCUAAAGCGCGACAGCAUGGGGAGCAAACGGG
rnacentral:rRNA from 1 species